rnacentral:rRNA from 1 species
AGAGUUUGAUCAUGGCUCAGGAUUAACGCUGGCGGUAUGCCUAACACAUGCAAGUCGAACGGAAUACUAAUUAAGAGAAUCUCACACUAGUGAGAGGUUCUCACGAGUAGUAUUUAGUGGCGGACGGGUGAGUAACACGUUGGAACCUGCCCCGAAGUGGGGAAUAACUGCUCGAAAGAGUAGCUAAUACCCCAUAGUAUCCGGUUUAUCCGGAUUAAAGAUUUAUCGCUUUGGGAGGGGCCUGCGUCUGAUUAGCUAGUUGGUGAGGUAAAAGCUCACCAAGGCGACGAUCAGUAGCUGGUUCGAGAGGAUGACCAGCCACACUGGGACUGAGAUACGGCCCAGACUCCUACGGGAGGCAGCAGUGAGGAAUCUUCCACAAUGGGCGCAAGCCUGAUGGAGCAAUACCGCGUGCAGGAAGACGCUUUCGGAGUGUAAACUGCUUUUGUCGUCGAAGAUUAUGACUGUAGACGAAGAAUAAGGACCGGCUAACUACGUG